AACGAACGCUGGCGGCAUGCCUAACACAUGCAAGUCGAACGAGAUCUUCGGGUCUAGUGGCGCACGGGUGCGUAACGCGUGGGAAUCUGCCCUUUGGUUCGGAAUAACAGUUGGAAACGACUGCUAAUACCGGAUGAUGACGAAAGUCCAAAGAUUUAUCGCCAGAGGAUGAGCCCGCGUAGGAUUAGCUAGUUGGUGUGGUAAAGGCGCACCAAGGCGACGGUCCUUAGCUGGUCUGAGAGGAUGAUCAGCCACACUGGGACUGAGACACGGCCCAGACUCAUACGGGAAGCAGCAGUGGGGAAUAUUGGACAAUGGGCGAAAGCCUGAUCCAGCAAUGCCGCGUGAGUGAUGAAGGCCUUAGGGUUGUAAAGCUCUUUUACCCGGGAUGAUAAUGACAGUACCGGGAGAAUAAGCUCCGGCUAACUCCGUGCCAGCCGCCGCCGUAA
rnacentral:rRNA from 1 species